GGAAAUGUGCCCGAGAUACUAAGGGAUACUUUGAUAGAGUACACCACAGAGGCUCACCCCUCUCAUUUCCU
rnacentral:tRNA from 1 species